rnacentral:rRNA from 1 species
GUACGGAAGGCAGCAGUAGGGAAUAUUGCACAAUGGGCGAAAGCCUGAUGCAGCAACGCCGCGUGUGCGAAGAAGGCCUUCGGGUCGUAAAGCACUUUUCUGAGAGAUGAGAAAGGACAGUAUCUCAGGAAUAAGUCUCGGCUAACUACGUGCCAGCAGCCGCGGUAAAACGUAGGAGGCGAGCGUUAUCCGGAUUCACUGGGCGUAAAGCGCGUGCAGGCGGUUCGGUAAGUUGGGCGUGAAAUCUCCCGGCUCAACUGGGAGAGGUCGUUCAAUACUACCGAGCUUGAGAAUAGAAGAGGAAAGUGGAAUUCCCGGUGUAGUGGUGAAAUGCGUAGAUAUCGGGAGGAACACCAGUGGCGAAGGCGACUUUCUGGUCUAUUUCUGACGCUCAUACGCGACAGCUAGGGUAGUAAACGGGAUUAGAUACCCCGGU